rnacentral:rRNA from 1 species
AAUGGGCGAAAGCCUGAUCCAGCCAUGCCGCGUGAGUGAUAAGGCCUUAGGGUUGUAAAGCUCUUUCGCAGGUGAAGAUAAUGACGGUAACCUGAGAAGAAGCCCCGGCUAACUUCGUGCCAGCAGCCGCGGUAAUACGAAGGGGGCUAGCGUUGUUCGGAAUCACUGGGCGUAAAGCGCGCGUAGGCGGACUGUCAAGUCAGAGGUGAAAUCCCAAGGCUUAACCUUGGAACUGCCUUUGAAACUGUCAGUCUGGAGUCUCGGAGGGGAUGGCGGAAUUUCUAGUGUAGGGGUGAAAUCCGUAGAUACUAGAAGGAACACCGGUGGCGAAGGCGGCCAUCUGGACGAGAACUGACGCUGAGGCGCGAAAGCGUGGGGAGCAAA